rnacentral:rRNA from 1 species
UACGUAGGGCGCAAGCGUUAUCCGGAAUUAUUGGGCGUAAAGAGCUCGUAGGCGGUUUGUCGCGUCUGCCGUGAAAGUCCGGGGCUCAACUCCGGAUCUGCGGUGGGUACGGGCAGACUAGAGUGAUGUAGGGGGAGACUGGAAUUCCUGGUGUAGCGGUGAAAUGCGCAGAUAUCAGGAGGAACACCGAUGGCGAAGGCAGGUCUCUGGGCAUUAACUGACGCUGGAGAGCUGGAAAGCAUGGGGAGCGAACAGG